rnacentral:rRNA from 1 species
AUAUCAAUAAGCGGAGGAAAAGAAACCAACCGGGAUUGCCUUAGUAACGGCGAGUGAAGCGGCAAAAGCUCAAAUUUGAAAUCUGGCUCUGAUUCAGGGUCCGAAUUGUAAUUUGAAGAAGCGACUUUGGGCCUGGCUCUUGUCUAUGUUCCUUGGAACAGGACGUCACAGAGGGUGAGAAUCCCGUGCGAUGAGAAGCCCAGGUUCGUGUAAAGCGUUUUCGACGAGUCGAGUUGUUUGGGAAUGCAGCUCUAAGUGGGUGGUAAAUUCCAUCUAAAGCUAAAUAUUGGCGAGAGACCGAUAGCGAACAAGUACAGUGAUGGAAAGAUGAAAAGAACUUUGAAAAGAGAGUGAAAAAGUACGUGAAAUUGUUGAAAGGGAAGGGCUUGAGAUCAGACUUUGUUUUUCCAUGGCGCUCUUUUGGGGGUGUCCUCUGGGUCUACAGGGCCAGCAUGGGUUUUGCGGGCGAGACAAGGACUCAGGAAUGUGGCUCUGCUUCGGUGGAGUGUUAUAGCCUGGGGUACUGGUCGCCAUGCGGGACCGAGGACUGCGGUACUAGGAUGCUGGCAUAAU